rnacentral:tRNA from 1 species
GACUUGAUACUUUAAGUAUAAAAGAUCUGAUUUGCAUUUAGAUAACAAGUCUUUAGACUUUCAGGUCA